rnacentral:rRNA from 1 species
AGAGUUUGAGUNNUGGCUCAGGACGAACGCUGGCGGCGUGCCUAAUACAUGCAAGUCGAGCGAACUUGCCUAGAUGAUUUUAGUGCUUGCACUAAAUGAAACUAGAUACAAGCGAGCGGCGGACGGGUGAGUAACACGUGGGUAACCUGCCCAAGAGACUGGGAUAACACCUGGAAACAGAUGCUAAUACCGGAUAACAACACUAGACGCAUGUCUAGAGUUUGAAAGAUGGUUCUGCUAUCACUCUUGGAUGGACCUGCGGUGGCAUUAGCUAGUUGGUAAGGUAACGGCUUACCAAGGCAAUGAUGCAUAGCCGAGUUGAGAGCCUGAUCGGCCACAUUGGGACUGAGACACGGCCCAAACUCCUACGGGAGGCAGCAGUAGGGAAUCUUCCACAAUGGACGAAAGUCUGAUGGAGCAACGCCGCGUGAGUGAAGAAGGGUUUCGGCUCGUAAAGCUCUGUUGGUAGUGAAGAAAGAUAGAGGUAGUAACUGGCCUUUAUUUGACGGUAAUUACUUAGAAAGUCACGGCUAACUACGUGCCAGCAGCCGCGGUAAUACGUAGGUGGCAAGCGUUGUCCGGAUUUAUUGGGCGUAAAGCGAGUGCAGGCGGUUCAAUAAGUCUGAUGUGAAACGCUUCGGCUCAACCGGAGAAUUGCAUCAGAAACUGUUGAACUUGAGUGCAGAAGAGGAGAGUGGAACUCCAUGUGUAGCGGUGGAAUGCGUAGAUAUAUGGAAGAACACCAGUGGCGAAGGCGGCUCUCUGGUCUGCAACUGACGCUGAGGCUCGAAAGCAUGGGUAGCGAACAGGAUUAGAUACCCUGGUAGUCCAUGCCGUAAACGAUGAGUGCUAAGUGUUGGGAGGUUUCCGCCUCUCAGUGCUGCAGCUAACGCAUUAAGCACUCCGCCUGGGGAGUACGACCGCAAGGUUGAAACUCAAAGGAAUUGACGGGGGCCCGCACAAGCGGUGGAGCAUGUGGUUUAAUUCGAACCAACGCGAUGAACCUUACCAGGUCUUGACAUCCAGUGCAAACCUAAGAGAUUAGGUGUUCCCUUCGGGGACGCUGAGACAGGUGGUGCAUGGCUGUCGUCAGCUCGUGUCGUGAGAUGUUGGGUUAAGUCCCGCAACGAGCGCAACCCUUGUCAUUAGUUGCCAUCAUUAAGUUGGGCACUCUAAUGAGACUGCCGGUGACAAACCGGAGGAAGGUGGGGAUGACGUCAAGUCAUCAUGCCCCUUAUGACCUGGGCUACACACGUGCUACAAUGGACGGUACAACGAGAAGCGAACCUGCGAAGGCAAGCGGAUCUCUUAAAGCCGUUCUCAGUUCGGACUGUAGGCUGCAACUCGCCUACACGAAGCUGGAAUCGCUAGUAAUCGCGGAUCAGCACGCCGCGGUGAAUACGUUCCCGGGCCUUGUACACACCGCCCGUCACACAUGAAGUCUGUAACACCCAAAGCCGGUGGGAUAACUUUUAUAGGAGUCAGCCGUCUAAGGUAGGACAGAUGAUUAGGGUGAAGUCGUAACAAGGUAGCCGUAGGAGAACCUGCGGCUGGAUCACCUCCUUUAU